UUCAGAUUUCUACUCGGAUUUUGCAAAUUUUUAGUAUAUAGAUACAAUGACAGUCAGAGAUUUUAUGCUAAAUGGGCAUACAUGCUUGUAUGUGUCCCUUCAAACCAAGUCCACGUUUAAAAUUUGCUGAAUAGCGACAUUGUUUGGGAAAAAUACUCUGGCAGAAAAGAGUCUAAACAUGGAUAGACAUCAGAGUCUGACAUCUGUCUGUUUAUUUCCAUAAGUGAAGUUUGUAUCAACUGACUGAAGGAUCAGUGUUAAAGGAUAACACUACUAUGAAAACAGCUGUGAGUUGUUUCUUUAGAAAAUGACUGCUUGAUGAUAAAGUUUCAAACAACUAUGAAGUGAGUGGAUGUUCUAGAGAGACUAAUUCUUCAAAGAAUGAAUGAUCAUCAUAAUCCUUAUAUUGGAAUAAAAGGAAGGAAGGAAGUGAGAGCUACAGUCAUGGUAAAAGUAAAUGCAGUCAGAAGACCUCUGAUAUCACCUGAAGAGUCAGCCUUCUCAAGAUUUUGUAUCAAAUAAAAAUAACAAGGACUGCUAAAAAGACUUUUUAUAACUUGCAAAUGUGCAGUCUGUGACAUAACUGUCUGAUCCAGGUAGUUUAGUGUUGACAAGAUGACAUUUCAUCUCUAUAGUAGAGGGCACAAGUUUGAAAUGCAGUAUGUCAUUGUGAAGGCAAAAUAUUUAUGAAAAUAGUGUGUGUGUUUUCAAAAUAGAGAGGCUGAAAGUGGGGAAUCAUCAAUGUGUUUUGGGAAUAAGUUAUGGACAUCUGAAUAGUGAAGAUCUGUCCCUUUUUUGGAUUGCCAGAGACCAAAAUAAUGAUUGGUGCCUUUGACAUAAAUAGAAGAUCUCACACUGGACAAUCUUAAGAUGGAAUUAUGUUGUUUGCAUUAAUGUUUCUUUUUCAGAUUUAUGGAAAAAAAUUAGAAUGUCAUUUCUUAAAAAUGUUGAUAGUUGUUUAACCAAAGGCCCUUUAAUUGAAAAAUAUCUUUAUUCUUGACUUUAUAUUAAAAUAAAAAAAAUCUGAUACUGUUUGAUUACUUUUGCAUGUAUAACAUUAAAUUUGUUAUAUUUAAAUUUGAUAAAAUUUAAUGUAUUUUGAAAAAGAUGCACUUGAACAUAUCUAAAUGGAAUAAACACAUGACAGUCUUUGAAUAUCUGUAAAAAAAAGCACAUGUUUUGCAGUUCUCAUCAGAUUUGGUUACCAAUUUACAGCAUAAUUAUACAUGAAGGCUUAUUACUCAAACAUAUGCAGAUCUAAUUGUAUAUUUUCUGCUAUAGAUAAUUUUAUUCAUAUAGAUUUUUUAAAUCUUUAAAAAAUACUGAGAAAAUAUAGCAAAACAAUGGUUGAAUUAGUAUACUUGAUUUUGUGAGACUGUUGAAAUAUUGCUAUUCUUUUUCCCUCUUAAGCCUGUAUCAUAAAAUCAUAUUUUCUGAUGAAAUUUAUUUUUUAAGAAUGUUGCAAUGCAGAUUUUAAUGAAAAUUCAUACAUUUGUAAAGUUACCUAUAUUGAGUUAGGUAUUAACUUAAGCCUUUAUAUACUAAUUGGUCAAUGAUUAAAGAGAAUGUAUCUGAGUUUCUAGCUGACUUUCUGACUAAUUUAAGACCUCAUUCAUGUAACAACAUCUGUUAAUCUUCAGAAAUCCAGUAAAAUUGUCAUCUGUAAAACAGGUUUCAUUCUAAGAUAUACAAGGCAUAUAACAUCCUAUUUUACCAGCAUGUAUUUACUUUAAUAAAAAAAGUAGAUUUAGUUGUGUAUUUUGAUAAAUUUUGGAAAAAGCAUUAGGAGAUAUGUCUGCAACUGGAGUUUGUAUUAACUGAGUAUUUACUGGCACUGGAAUGUGCAUGAUCAGGGUUCUUCUGAAUAAACUUAGUAAAGUCUUAAAUCUACAUUAUUUAUAGCUAUCCGUAAAAAGUCUAGCCAUUGUCUUGAUAGUUUGAAAGAAUUAAAUACAUUUAAGCCACGCCAUGAGAAAACCAACAUAGUGGUUUUGCGACCAGCAUAGAUCCAGAGCUGCCCACGCAGUCUGGUCAGGAUCCAUCCUGUUCGCUUUCAAAGCAUAUUGCAAUUAGAGAAACUGUUAGUGAACAGCAUGGAUCCUGACCAGACUGCGCUGAUGCACAGUCUGGUAUGGAUCCAUGCUUGUCGCAAACGCACUAUGUUGGUUUUCUCAUGGCGCGGCUCAUUUAAAGUUGUAUCUAGCAAAAUAUUGACUAAACUGUUCUGUAGAUCAUUUGAUUUAAUUUGAUUGUUAAAGGAAGAAUGUGCAUCAUGAUUGUUAUUACAUGAACAUACUGUAUUAUUUUUAAAUAUCAUGAUAUUUUUCAGUCUUGGAUUACACAGUUCAUAAUUUUGAAUUGUAUUUAAAAUGUAUAUAUUAAAUCAAAUGGCGAAGGAGACAUGAUUUUGCUUUUACUACUAUUUGUUUCCAUGGCAACAAAAUGAUUUCCAAAGGUGAAAGGACACUGUCUUUACACAAACACACAUAGAUAUUUUUAUGCCGAAUCUUCUUAAAUUCCUCGAUUUCUCCCUAAAUUCUGUGGAGAAGUGAAAGAGUCACUUCUCCCUAAAAUGUUGACCUUGGAUGAUCCCUGUUUUUUAAUGCAAAAUGAAUGUUGUAACCAUGGCAACUUGGAAAAAAAACUGGACAGUCAUGAUUAGUAACCAUACAAUACCUUAAAGGCCAGUAUCAAUUGGUUAUGAGUAUUUCCAACUGCUUUGAAACUCAAAAUUAGUUUACCCAAAAGAAAGAAAAGUGCAUACAAGGUUGUUGAGAACUGACCUUGUGACAAUGCUUUAAGUUUCAUAGAUCAUUAUUAUGGUUGUAUCCUUCUUAAUUCUGCCCAGAAUGUGCUUCAGGUACGUUAGAUGCAUUGACAGUUUGCAGAUGAACUUUUCUUGUUUCAUAGAAUACAAAAUUGAUACAGAAAGUGCUUUAAAAAGGUCUGAAUUAUAAGUUUCUUGUACGUUGCCAUGGUAACGGAACAUUCUCCUUAAUUUCUAGACAAAGUGUUGGACAGUAUAACUUUGUAAAAUGAUUUUACAUGAAAUACUUAUGUUUUGCUACAAUUCUGUAUCUGGCAAUGUAAUAUUAUUACAGGUUAUUCUGUAAUUUAGGCAUAAAUGAGUUUGCUGAAAACUCAUUUUUCGUCAAUUUUCAAAUUUCUGUAAAAAGCUCAAAUAUGAAUGACCCACUAAAAUUCCUCCUUAAAUUGAAAUGGGUAUCAUAGCUCUGCUGAAUCCAUACAAGUAUUAUAUUCAGAUGCGUGCACUUUUUUUUCUAUUAGAAGUUCAAAAAUAUACAUGCAGACCAAUUUUUAAAGAUAAUGUAAAAUCUUAAAAGGGUGUAUUUAUAAAAUUGUUGCUUCUAAAACUGUGAAAAUGUUGAAAGACAAUAUUUGUUCUAAAGAAUUACAUCAGGUAUGUAUUUCAGGCAAAUAUGAAAAUUAGUGCUCUAUUUCAGACAUAGAGACCACUAUGUGUGAAGAAAAUUGUAACAUUUUAGUAAAAUUUGACACUCAGAAAUUGCCAUUUUUCGCAAAAAGUAUAAUGUUCCCGUUUCCAUGGUAACCAGAGCUGAUUCAUAUCUUUUCACCCUUGAUUCUUCAUAUAUGGCUUGAAUACUAAAAAGGAUGCAAAUAUGAAGUAAU